GGCAGCCGCGGUAAUUCCAGCUCCAAUAGCGUAUAUUAAAGUUGUUGCAGUUAAAAAGCUCGUAGUUGAAUUUCGGGGUUAGUAGGUUGGUCAUGCCUCUGGUAUGUACUGGUCUCACUGAUUCCUCCUUCCUGAUGAGCCGUAAUGCCAUUAAUUUGGUGUUGCGGGGAAUUUGGACUGUUACUUUAGAAAAAAUUAGAGUGUUUAAAGCAAGCUAACGCUUGAAUACAUUAGCAUGGAAUAAUGAAAUAGGACGUUCGAUCCUAUUUUGUUGGUUUCUAGGAUUGACGUAAUGAUUAAUAGGGAUAGUUGGGGGCAUUAGUAUUCAAUUGUCAGAGGUGAAAUUCUUGGAUUUAUUGAAGACUAACUACUGCGAAAGCAUUUGCCAAGGAUGUUUUCAUUAAUCAAGAACGAAAGUUAGGGGAUCGAAGACGAUCAGAUACCGUCGUAGUCUUAACCAUAAACUAUGCCGACUAGGGAUCGGAUGAUGUUAAUUUUUAAUGACUCAUUCGGCGCCGUU
rnacentral:misc_RNA from 1 species